UACGUAGGUGGCGAGCGUUGUCCGGAUUUACUGGGUGUAAAGGGCGUGUAGGCGGGAUUGUAAGUCAGAUGUGAAAUUCCAGGGCUCAACUCUGGAGCUGCAUCUGAAACUGCGAUUCUUGAGUGUCGGAGAGGUUAGUGGAAUUCCUAGUGUAGCGGUGAAAUGCGUAGAUAUUAGGAGGAACACCAGUGGCGAAGGCGGCUAACUGGACGAUAACUGACGCUGAGGCGCGAAAGCGUGGGGAGCAAACAGG
rnacentral:rRNA from 1 species